rnacentral:lncRNA from 1 species
UCAAAUUUUUUCUCAAAAGUUGCAGCUUUUGCAUCCUCUCUAGCCUUAUCAGCCUCAAAUUUAGCCAUUUCUCGGGCCAAAUUCAAUUCACCUUGGCAGGCAAGAUCUUCCAUAUACUUUGCGUAAUCAUUCUUGGAAGCAUUACCUUUUCUCUUUGAAGCCUUCUUACCUUGAUGCCUAAUUGGAAAACGGGUCGACCCCGACGCUUGUUCAACGGGGGGCGUUUCAGGCACUUCUUCAUAAUCAUCUUCAUCAUGAUCAUGCGAGGCAUGCUCGGGUGUAGAGUGUAAAGGGAUGCUAUUCAUGAAAAUUUCUGGACCGACAUGCACAUCUCUAAAUUUAGGACAAUCUUUGACAAUAUUCCAACAUUCAAA